ACUUAAGCAUAUCAAUAAGCGGAGGAAAAGAAACCAACAGGGAUUGCCCUAGUAACGGCGAGUGAAGCGGCAACAGCUCAAUUUGAAAUCUGGCCUCGGCCCGAGUUGUAAUUUGCAGAGGAUGAUUUUGGCGCGGUGCCUUCCGAGUUCCCUGGAACGGGACGCCACAGAGGGUGAGAGCCCCGUAUGGUCGGACACCAAGCCUGUGUAAAUCUCCUUCGACGAGUCGAGUAGUUUGGGAAUGCUGCUCAAAAUGGGAGGUAAAUCUCUUCUAAAGCUAAAUAUUGGCCAGAGACCGAUAGCGCACAAGUAGAGUGAUCGAAAGAUGAAAAGCACCUUGAAAAGGGGGUUAAACAGUACGUGAAAUUGUUGAAAGGGAAGGGCUCGUGACCAGACUUGUGCCAGGCGGCUCAUCCGGCGUUCUCGCCGGUGCACUCCGCCUGGCUCAGGCCAGCAUCGGUUCUUGCCGGGGGAUAAGAGCUUCGGGAACGUGGCCCCCUUCGGGGGGUGUUAUAGCCCGUUGCACGAUGCCCUGGCGGGGACCGAGGUUCGCGCUCCGCAAGGAUGCUGGCGUAAUGGUCACCAACCACCCGUCUUGAAACACGGACCAAGGAGUCGUCCAUCAGAGCGAGCGUUUGGGUGUAAAACCCGCACGCGUAAUGAAAGUGAACGCAGGUGAGAGCUUCGGCGCAUCAUCGACCGAUCCUGAUGUAUUCGGAUGGAUUUGAGUAAGAGUUUUGCUGGACGGACCCGAAAGACAGUGAACUAUGCUUGUAUAGGGUGAAGCCAGAGGAAACUCUGGUGGAGGCUCGCAGCGGUUCUGACGUGCAAAUCGAUCGUCAAAUAUGAGCAUGGGGGCGAAAGACUAAUCGAACUGUCUAGUAGCUGGUUACCGCCGAAUUUCCCCUCAGGA
rnacentral:rRNA from 1 species